AACGAACGCUGGCGGCAGGCCUAACACAUGCAAGUCGAACGCCCUAGCAAUAGGGAGUGGCAGACGGGUGAGUAACGCGUGGGAACCUUCCCUAUAGUACGGAAUAUACCAGGGAAACUUGGAGCAAUACCGUAUACGCCCGAAAGGGGAAAGAUUUAUCGCUAUAGGAUGGGCCCGCGUAGGAUUAGCUAGUUGGUGAGGUAAUGGCUCACCAAGGCGACGAUCCUUAGCUGGUCUGAGAGGAUGAUCAGCCACACUGGGACUGAGACACGGCCCAGACGCCUACGGGAGGCAGCAGUGCGGAAUAUUGGGCAGUGGGCGCAAGCCUGACCCAGCCAUGCCGCGUGAGUGACGACGGCCUUAGGGUUGUGAAGCUCUUUUGGCGGGGACGAUAAUGACGGUACCCGCAGAAUAAGCCCCGGCUAACUUCGUGCCAGCCGCCGCCGUAACAC
rnacentral:rRNA from 1 species